AAGACCUUGCGCUUUUGGAGCGGCCGAMGUCUGAUUAGCUUGUUGGUGAGGUAAAAGCUUACCAAGGCUUCGAUCAGUAGCUGGUCUGAGAGGACGACCAGCCACACUGGGACUGAGACACGGCCCAGACUCCUACGGGAGGCAGCAGUGGGGAAUUUUGGACAAUGGGCGCAAGCCUGAUCCAGCCAUGCCGCGUGAGUGAAGAAGGCCUUCGGGUUGUAAAGCUCUUUCAGCCGGGAAGAAAAGGCUACGACGAAUAAUCGUAGCUCAUGACGGUACCGGAAGAAGAAGCACCGGCUAACUACGUGCCAGCAGCCGCGGUAAUACGUAGGGUGCGAGCGUUAAUCGGAAUUACUGGGCGUAAAGGGUGCGCAGGCGGUUUUGUAAGUCAGAUGUGAAAUCCCCGGGCUUAACCUGGGAACU
rnacentral:rRNA from 1 species